CCCAAAAUGAUGGAGGCCAGGUGCUGCAGGGAGCCUCGGAGGGGCGAAGCGGCGUGUCAAUGAGCGGUCCCAGAAGGAGCGGCGUGGCCACUGUUGGAACUGGAUACGCAUUUGAGGCGCCACAGGCGAUGACAGCCACAGUGUCUGUCUCUGGAAUGAGCAGCUGAUGAAGAGGAACCAAGUGACUGCCGGGCCGUCCUGGU